rnacentral:piRNA from 1 species
UGAAAGUGAAGUGCAGUUUUUAAAUUAAAAA